rnacentral:rRNA from 1 species
GACGAACGCUGGCGGCGUGCCUAAUACAUGCAAGUCGAGCGAAGUUUUACUGGUGCUUGCACUAGAAAAACUUAGCGGCGAACGGGUGAGUAACACGUAAAGAACCUGCCUCAUAGACUGGGACAACUAUUGGAAACGAUAGCUAAUACCGGAUAACAGUAUUUCUCGCAUGAGAGAUAUUUAAAAGUUGGUUAUGCUAACACUAUGAGAUGGCUUUGCGGUGCAUUAGCUAGUUGGUGGGGUAAAGGCCCACCAAGGCGACGAUGCAUAGCCGACCUGAGAGGGUGAUCGGCCACACUGGGACUGAGACACGGCCCAGACUCCUACGGGAGGCAGCAGUAGGGAAUCUUCCGCAAUGGGCGAAAGCCUGACGGAGCAACGCCGCGUGAGUGAAGAAGGAUUUCGGUUCGUAAAGCUCUGUUGUUAGGGAAGAAUGGAUAUGUAGUAACUAUACAUGUAAGAGACGGUACCUAACCAGAAAGCCACGGCUAACUACGUG